rnacentral:ncRNA from 3 species
UGAACGCCUCUAAGUCAGAA